rnacentral:tRNA from 1 species
AACUUUAUAGUCAAUAAUUAAAUAUGACAUUAGACUGCAAUUCUAAAGGAAUAACUAAAUUUUAUUAAAGUUU